AUUAAAGAUGAAUGUUAGGGCAACCCAUCCUUGACCGAGACAGAGAGGCCAAGACCAGGCACUCUGCAUAAAUGACCUCAUUCAGGGUGUUCGGACUCAGAGGAUGAAGAAGAUACCGGCUUGAAUCUCACUUCCAACAAGAAUUACUUUGAACCAGACCUGACCAGUUCUGAAGACAAGCUUACCCUCAACUUGUCCAGAAGGGAUCUGAAGCUGCACUUCUGAGACUCAAACAAGCACGUGAUCUGUCUGCAAAGCAAGUACCUGGCCUUCCUCAGAAUCAUCACCAUUUUCUAAUGCUGGCUUCUCCAACUCAAAGCCCAUGCAGAGCUCUCAUGAUUAUUCUGUUUAGCUGCUGGGAUUCUCGCCUCCCUCUAGAUUCCAGUCCCUACUUGGUGGUGGUGCCUUCUCUUUCAUCAGCUUCUGCCUGAAUCAGCUACACCUCAGAUUCACCAAGCUCCUUCUUUCCAGCCUCUUGUGUCUUCACUCAGUGUUUCUAACAGGCUCCUCCCUUUUCGCAUUGAUGGAUCCUGUGAGAAGAGCCUUCCAGUCUACAGUUAGUGUGUAAACAUUUCCUGCACUAAAGACAGGAACAGAAUCAACUAUCAAGAUGCACAGAAACCAACUUUGGGAACCUAUGCUGGAGUUAGAGGCAUCAGUAAGAGACACCAAUUCUUACAGACUAUCAACAUGAAGAGAAUGAAUACAUCAAACUAACCACAGAGACUUAAGCUACGCUGUAGAUGGCGAGAUAAUGUCAAGAUUCUGGAAAUAUCCAUGCUGAUCAAGGCGGGGGAGGGGGGGUGUGAUUAAA